UGCGAUAGCGGUGUUUAAAAUCAUGAGUGGCACAGAGAAAAUAAGUAGCAAAUGAUUGUUUGCGUUUCUCCCAGAGCAAGAAUAAGGGACAUCGGGUGGAAUUACUGGGUAGUGGCUUAAGCAAACAACAGCAAACUUGGUCGUUGUGGCGUGUGAUUAAACUGGAACCAGUCUUACAGUAUCUGCCGGGUGUCAAGAGGGUAGAUGGGCUCAAAACCAAUCAGGCUAAUUAACAGAGAAAGAAAAUCUAUCAAGGACUAAUAGGCAACAAGAUGAUAUUUGUGCCUGAGGAGCUGCCUGCGUGACAGGCUCUGGAUGUGGGGAGGAGAGAGUGGAGAAAAUUACUGCAUGGUUACCCUUUUUAAAAAUUGUUUGCCUUGGUAUCUGCUGCUGGCUCCUGUCAGUGGUGGAAUACUGGACUAAGUGGACAUUUGACCCAAUCCAGUAGAAUUCUUCUGCAUAAUGUUUUUGUUUAAUGUUUAUUUUAUGUUUUUGCAGAUAAAGUAGCUCAGAGACCUACAGGGUCCCAAGGUUUGAACCCUACUUAAAUAAUUUAGACCUAGCCUGGAUGUCCACUCGGAGUCUUGGAAGAGAAUGUGUUUGGAUUGAUCCAACCAUCUGAGAAGAGAAUUUGGAGAUGGUGGCCAGAAGCUGCAGCCAUGACUCAGUAAGAAGGGGAAAAGUGCUGCUGUGAUGUUACCUGGAACUGCAUUUAACUUAAACUAGCACAGUGCCUUGCUCUUCUGUGACCUUUACCCAUCAGGACUUAUUAGCUAAUUGAAUUCAGAAGGUAACUCCUUAACUGUUUUCAAACUAAAUUAACUUGCUUCAAGGGACCAAGUUGUGUUUGUAUUUCCACAGAGAUAAUGAGUUUAGGCUUCAACUGAAAUCUUGCCAGAUAAUGAGGAAAAAAUAAAUCAAUGACCUCACUCUUAUCUGGUCUUAACAGGCAGGCUUUCCUUUGCUAAAAGUGACCCUGAAAUGGUCUGGAUUGAUUCACACAAAUACCAAACCCUGCAUCUUGCUAAGCAGAGCUGUCCAGGGGAACACUUUGCUCCAUGAAGAGAUCUAAUCUGAGCAUCAGCAAAGCUGCCAGGAUUUGAAUCACAGCUUUUCUUAGAGUCAAAAUAAACGCUUCUGAGAAAUUCAAAUGAGCAGUAAGAUAAAGAGUUAAGGAAGAAUUUAGCUUCAGUACUUAUUAGAAGAAAAAACCCACAUUCUCAGACCUGUGCCUGGGAUUGAACAGUCUUCAUUGGCAUAUACUUGUCUGGUUCUCCAUAGACAUAUGCUUCUCUGAUUAUUUAAUUAGCUGGUAUUGUUAAAUAAGUGCUUUACAGAUGUUAAAGGGAGAUUGCUGCCUGCUGAGAACUGGUGUAGCUGUAUUGGUGGAGAUCCUUCCUUUGGUGCCUUGAUUAAUGGAAGAAAUACACAGCUCAGAAAUGUUCUUCUCCAAAAGUACCUCCUUUACUCUCUGUAUUGAUCUCUCAAAUGAAGGCUUAAAUCUUCAGGUAAUAAAUGUGAUUAAUAAUAGUUUUAGAGAAUAUAUGAGGGAAUCUCUUUGAAUAUGCAGAGGUAAGAGGCAGGUGAUUUUAAUUACUUGCAAAGAAUCUGUAGAAACUACUCUUAAGGUCCAAAAAAUAAAAUUGAAAUUUUAUAGUAGCAAUAGCAGCAGUAGUAGAAAAGACCAUUCUGGUCUAAUAAGAGAUGUGAUGUUUUAGGGAGAGACGGUUGCUUUUAUCAAAUUUGUUGGUACAGGUUGUAUAGUGCACCAAUUCUUGAACAUCAAGGAAAAAGUGCUCUGAGGCAAAACCCCCUGGAGAUGUUUAAAACAUGACUGGAUGCGGCCCUGAGCAACUGUCUUUUUUUGACUCUGCUCUGAUCACAGGUCAGGGCUGGAUGAUUUGCCUUCCAAACUCAACCAAUCUAUGACUUUGUGAACCUAGAAUACAUUUUUGAAGAGUGGCUAGGACCUUCUUGUGGCAACUGGCGCAGAGUAGAGAGCCCAGGUCUCCUGUAGAGGAAGAAGGAUCUGGAAAGGGUUUCUCUAUCAUGAAUCAAACUGGGCUCCAUGUGUUGCUUAGUGUUUUGUCCUUUUGCAAAACCAAAGUCCCAUGCAGCUUUCAGACAACUCACCUCCUGGGAAGUGGCUGUGAUUCCUGAUUAACAACUUCCCACCCCAAAAACUGUGAGAAGUUGGCCUUUGGAUAUGAGUGAGUUCCACUAAGAGCAAUCUUCAUUUGUGGCUGACUUGGGUGUGAUUACUUCAGUGCUGCAUCCAAAAGGAUUAACUUAUUAGGGAGGUGGUUUGAUCUGGAAAAAGGUUAAUUCUAAAAACAUCAUAGGAUAAAGCAAAAUGGACAGAACACACCCAUAAAAUAAAUCAGAUAUGGAAAUAAAAUGUCAGAAGCU